AUCUGUAUGAUUUACAGAAGUCUCCUUUAUACGAACAUGGAAUUGUUUUCUGCUACAGUUUUCCUCUCAGAUGCCUUGGGAUUGUUAUGUGAGUUUGCACAAGGCCUGACAUUCUUGAAAGAGUCUUAACUGGCUGGACUCUUGCCUUUCUCCCUACGCUUCCCGGGAAGUGCUGUGCCUCGGGGCAUGCGCACGGCGAGUGACAGAGCCGGGGCACGUGGAGCGCUGGGAGCGCUGCCGCCCGCGUCUGGAGGCUCGAAAAGCAGGAAGGGUCCUGUGCAAAGGUAAACCCAGAGCUUCUCCUCGGCUCCGCUUCUGCGGAACUGGCUCCUUUCCUUUCUCGUUUUACCCCGCUGGGCGGUGGAGUUUACCGUGUGACGAGCCCUCGCUGAAGCCAGCGCUGGCAGCUGCUGCCGCCCCGCGCCGGCCGGCAGCUGGGCCGUGCCCGCCCGCCCGGUGCUUCCCGGUGCCUCCCGGUGCGUGCCGCCCGCCCGGUGCCUCCCGGUGCUUCUCGGUGCCUCCCGGUGCGUGCCGCCCGCCCGGUGCCUCCCGGUGCGUGCCGCCCGCCCGGUGCCUUCCGAUGUGUGCCGCCCGCCCGGUGCCUCAGGCGCGCAGGGAGCGCCCCUCAGCGGUGCCCGCGGCCCCCGAGAGGCGGGAAUGGAGUCUGGCGGCGCGGGUCGCGGCCCUUCUGCUCGGCUCGGCCCUUUGCACGCUCUCUCCGGGGCCCUCUGGGUCAGAAUUCCCCGCGGUGCCGGAGCGGCUGGGAGCGGGCGGGCUCUCCGCGGGAAGCCGCAGAGCGCCGGCGGUGCGGCGGUAGCGCUCGUACCCGGGGACAGGAGUGCUCCCGCGGCCGGGCUCACGGGAACUGAGGCGAGCCGGUGCCUGCCCUGCGCAGGCAGCUCUCCGAAGGCUUACUUACUUAAAUCUCUAGUCGUUCUUAUACUUGGGGAGUGGUGAGUGUCCACAUUUGCUCCUUUUUGAGAGA
ensembl:lncRNA